GAAGGAAAUGUCGCGAGGUGUCGACGUGGGUACGAUUGGCUUCCAGCCGAAGGCCCGUUGUGUCGGUACUUAGUUAACGUUAUUAUCUGUGUUUAACAGUUCGUAAACGGUUGGACGUUUUUUUUUGACAAACGUUUGAAUCGUUAACUCUAAACGUCUCUUGGUUAAGCUAGCGGACGAGCUCAGUUAGCUACCUGGAGACGUUGAGAUGACUAACGUCAGCGACCCCUCACCUGUCAACUUCAGACGUCAAUUAUUGUUACAAAGACCGUUUAGGAAAAGAAGUAAACGACAACCAGAACACGUACCUGGCAGUUAUGUGUGGAACAUUAGGACUUAACGUAAACCCUGGAAACCUGCUCUGUUGCAACAGCAGCUUCCAGCGUGCACCGCCUCAUCGGAAAGAUCCCGACAGCCUUCUUUACGCCGCGGUUCCCCAGCAGGGCCAUCUCGAUCUUGUCGGCUGCACUUCUGCUCGCCUCCCUUUUGUACUUGACAGAAGCCCAGAUGCCGACCCCGAGCACCAGCAGGUAGAAGAGCAGCAUCGCCGUCAAUCCGGGAAUGUUAACGGCCAUAUUGAACCUGAAGACAAAGGAGACUCUGCACUCAAAAUGUGGCUUUAAAAUGACAUUUUAGGUUUAAACUAAAGGGCUUUGCUGUAAUAAGUAAAACAACAAAGUCAGACAAACAAAUUCAAUCACAACCCUUGGAUUUAAUGACAUGAACUACAAAGAAUAUCACGUUACAAGUCACUAAAAAAAUGCUUUUUAAGCAUAUUUUUAAAAAGAGAAGAAAGAGAACCUACCAAGUCCAUCACCGAUCAGUUUGGCCUCUCGGGUCGGUCUCUUUGGGAAGAAAGGCCCAGGUGAGCUUCCACCCCGUGAUAUGGACCUAAUGGUCGGUUCCCUGCCUUCCCACGCCUUACAUGUUGCUUCUCUGGCUUAGAGUUGGCUGAGAAGAUGCAUAAUACUAAACUUUAACUACGAAGGAGCUGGAUGGUGGACUUGUUGGGCAAGUCUGAUGCGCAGGGACAGGGAAGACUUCCAGUCACUUUCCGCCUGACAAAAGAAUUUUCCUCCAUCACAUUGCUCAUAGCCGGGUGCCCCAGUGCCAGAGCUAAUGAGCUGUUAGAGAACCGCUUAGAGCGACUGCACCCCUCAAUCAAAGCGUCCACACGCUUAAUGGACAACUUUACAUAAUUUCAAUUAUUUUUAGGCUCGUAGGUUUGCUUCAUUUUCAGCACCGACGAUCGCUAUGUUUCAUCAGUUAAAUCCUCUCCCAUGUGUUCCUUACUUACUAUAUAUAUAUAUAGCGGUUGUGCGUCUGCAGUACAAUGAUGAUGGCUGCUGAUCCAAAUGACUUGUCCUUUAUUAAGAGCGGAAUUCCACGUCGUGGUGUUCAAGCCCAACGUUGUAAUUGGAGCAAAUAAGUUACUGGUACUGAGUUAUUGAUCAAAACACUACUGCAGUUAAUGCUGCAUCGCCGUAAGGGAUUUAAUAAACAUGGUCGAGGGACUGAAAGCGAUGCAUUUUCUCAUUUUGGACGUAGAUUACAUCCAUUGACCCGACCUGCCACACAACCAUCUGGGAAACCUUCAUUGGAAACGGUUGACAUUUUUGUAAUAAAAAUUUGUUUUCAGUCUGGAAUUUUCCAAUAGCUACUUACGCUCUCCUUAAAAUCACUUGAACAUGUUUACGGUUUUCAUAUUUAGAAAAAAAAAAAAAUCCUUCUCCAAUUUCAACCUGUGCGUUUGUGGUGUGAGAGAUUAAUUACAUGUAUUGUUAAUGUGUAAUGCAUGAGAUAUACCUUUCACAUAUGGUAACAUUCAAUAACAAUGAAGCUCAAAACAAGAGACAUGUAUUUAAGGGGGUCUGGGAAAAAUAAAAACCUCUUCCCAUAUAUACCUACUUGUAUUAAUGUCAUUUUGACAUAUCAUUUUUAAAGGGCACAUAAAUGAUUCAUUCCUAAAAAAUUGGCAUAAAAGUAACUGUGCUCUUCUUUUUAGUAUUUCAUUCAAAUGGAUUGUUUUUUUUUGUCAGUUGGGAUACAUUUAUUUUGGCUUGUUCAAUCCAACUCGAGCAGAGAUUUGGUACUUAAAUAAAUAGUUGAAAUCACCAAUAUGAGAAAAAGAGGGCAAUUAUUCACUCAACUCCCUCAAUCAUUUCUCUUUGUCUGUCUCUCUCUCUCUCUCUCUCUCUGAAUCAAAGAAGCUUAAAUUGAAAAUAGAUUUUAUUCAAACAUCCAUAAACACGAGGCAAAUUGCACGUACGUCUUUGACCAUAAAACAUGAUUCGUAAAGACUUCUUUCCCCAUAAACACUUGUCAAACAUCCUCUGAACCAACAUUGACUUUUUAGCUUAGUCCCUCCCGCACUGCGUGUGUGUGUGUGUGUGUGUGUGUGUGUGUGUGUGUGUG
ensembl:lncRNA